GUCAAAUCAGAUAAGGAUUAUGUAUUUUAGAGGGAGUUUGUAUUGUACAUUUAUGUAUUGUCCAUUAUAUUCAGAAAUUCAGUAAAUUCAGUUAUUUCUGCGCAGAUAUUCAGUUUUAAAGUUUUUUGUACUCUUACAGUUUAUGGAUCUCAAUAAAGAGAACCAGUUGGAAAUAGACAUUCUAUUGACCACACUUUAUGUUAUU
rnacentral:lncRNA from 1 species